CCUGAGGUAAAGUGCAUACCUUGCUCACAGUAUUUUUUGCUGGCUAGAAGGCAAACAAGGGGAGGGAUAAACAUAGCGUCUUUUGAAUCUGUGCUUGACAGACAAGUUCCCUGUCCUCUAAUUGCUGUUUGCAGCACUACAAACACCUGAGGCAGCUGUGGAAAAUCACAAGGGUGAGAAAGGCUUUUAUGCUGUAGAAGGGCAUUCAGAAAAGCAUUCAGCUUAUAUUUUUAAGAGCAAAGACUCUAAUAAAUAAGAACCUUAUUUUGAAGACAAUAAUGCGGGUAGAAUGACUCUAAAGGAGGAGCUAUAAUUUCCAGCCUGACUGUUUCUGACAGCUCUGAUGAGGUCCAGACACACAGUCCAGGCAAAUGUCCUCCACAUAGCAAUAUCUCAGCAUGCAUAACAAAGGCAAAGUAUGCUUGCUUUGUUUUCUCCCUAAGACAGCCUAAACAACUGUCUCGGUAGCUUGAGUAGGGAAAUUUCUUUACUCAGAUCAGCUCUAAUUAUUUUGGUUUUUUGUGAAUUGCUGCUAGAUUAAGGGAGAAGCAAAUGAGGUUCAGUUCCUUGCUCUGUGUAUUGCUAUGACAAUGCAUUAAACUGCUUCGUGCCUCAGUUUCUCUAUUUAUAAAAUGGAGACAGUGAUCCUGAGUGAAAUCUGUGAAGGAAGUGAGCUAUAUAGGAGAAGAUGGAGAGAUAUAGCACCUGCUACUUGGGAAGAGAGCUGCAUAAACAGUAGAAAAAUUCAGCUUGGAAAAAAUGUGGAGCAAAGCCGAUGACAAUAACUUACUACUCCUAUGCUGUAUUCAAGUGAGAACUAAGACCAGAAUUUGUACAUUUUCAUUGUCUUUUGCCUACUGACCCUUUACUAUGAUUUCUGAACAGAAGAGCACAGUUCAGCAUGGAAUCAAAAAAAUGCCAAGGAGCAGGAAGAAGGUCUGCACCCAAAUAGAUACAUCAACUUCAACGAUGCUUCUACACUCAAGGGAAGAUAGAAUAAAGCUUUUGGAGUGAAACUGAACA
rnacentral:lncRNA from 1 species